UAUAUGUUUAUCUGGUGGUGUUUGGAUUUUACUUACCUGCGGUACCAUUUUUGGUUCCGUAGAUUUUGGUGCAGGAUUCGAGGCGGAGGAGGAGGCUGAGCCUGAGGAUGCGGCUCUACCGGACUUUUGAGUUGAAAAUUGUCAGGUACAGUCUUGGUGGAUCCUGACCUCUGAUUGGCUGAAAGGGCGAUCUUGAAUCUCUAUCGACCAUGUGUCCUCUAGACUAAAGAAUAGUAGAGACCGAGCAAAUUGAUGGGACAAGCCACACACGUCUUUGCAACUUGCAUUGGGACCAAGCCCGAAUUCCUUCUCCUCAUGAGAGUCACCCACGUGGCUUUAAGCCUUACUUUUGAGGUCAAACGUAUGGUCUAUAGGUCAUUCCUCCUUCCCCAAGUGUACUCUUGUUGUGUCGUCAUUGACAUAGCAUGGGCUCCUAGUUUGAGCCAAAGUUUUGAAUACCGUACCAGAGGCUAUAUCAGUCAAGGCACUGGAAUGAAAUAUUUCUGUACUAGUACCGUUUUGUA